rnacentral:rRNA from 1 species
GACAGCCUUCUGAAAGGAAGAUUAAUACAAGAUGGCAUCAUGAGUCCGCAUGUUCACAUGAUUAAAGGUAUUCCGGUAGACGAUGGGGAUGCGUUCCAUUAGAUAGUAGGCGGGGUAACGGCCCACCUAGUCUUCGAUGGAUAGGGGUUCUGAGAGGAAGGUCCCCCACAUUGGAACUGAGACACGGUCCAAACUCCUACGGGAGGCAGCAGUGAGGAAUAUUGGUCAAUGGGCGAGAGCCUGAACCAGCCAAGUAGCGUGAAGGAUGACUGCCCUAUGGGUUGUAAACUUCUUUUAUGAAGGAAUAAAGUCGGGUAUGGAUACCCGUUUGCAUGUACUUUAUGAAUAAGGAUCGGCUAACUCCGUGCCAGCAGCCGCGGUAAUACGGAGGAUCCGAGCGUUAUCCGGAUUUAUUGGGUUUAAAGGGAGCGUAGAUGGAUGUUUAAGUCAGUUGUGAAAGUUUGCGGCUCAACCGUAAAAUUGCAGUUGAUACUGGAUAUCUUGAGUGCAGUUGAGGCAGGCGGAAUUCGUGGUGUAGCGGUGAAAUGCUUAGAUAUCACGAAGAACUCCGAUUGCGAAGGCAGCCUGCUAAGCUGCAACUGACAUUGAGGCUCGAAAGUGCGGGUAUCAAACAGGAUUAGAUACCCUGGUAGUCCACACGGUAAACGAUGAAUACUCGCUGUUUGCGAUAUACUGCAAGCGGCCAAGCGAAAGCGUUAAGUAUUCCACCUGGGGAGUAC